rnacentral:rRNA from 1 species
GUGUCAGCAGCCGCGGUAAUACGUAGGGGGCAAGCGUUGUCCGGAAUUAUUGGGCGUAAAGAGCAUGUAGGCGGAUUUUUAAGUCAGGUGUGAAACCUCCGGGCUCAACUUGGAGCGUGCAUCUGAUACUGGAAGUCUUGAGGGUAUGAGAGGAAAACGGUAUUCCUAGUGUAGCGGUGAAAUGCGUAGAUAUUAGGAGGAACACCAGUGGCGAAGGCGGUUUUCUGGCAUACAACUGACGCUGAGAUGCGAAAGCGUGGGGAGCAAACAGGAUUAGAUACCCUGGUAGUCCACGCCGUAAACGAUGGGUACUAGGUGUAGGAGGUAUCGACCCCUUCUGUGCCGCAGUUAACACAUUAAGUACCCCGCCUGGGGAGUACGGCCGCAAGGUUGAA